UACGAAGGGGGGCUAGCGUUGCUCGGAAUGACUGGGCGUAAAGGGGCGCGUAGGCGGAUGGCAUAGUCAGAUGUGAAAUUCCCCGGGCUUAACCUGGGGGACUGCAUUUGAUACGUGUCGUCUUUGAGUUCGGAAGAGGGUCGUGGAAUUCCCAGUGUAGAGGUGAAAUUCGUAGAUAUUGGGAAGAACACCGGUGGCGAAGGCGGCGACCUGGUCCGAUACUGACGGCUGAGCGCGAAAGCGUGGGGAGCAAACAGG
rnacentral:rRNA from 1 species